GGUUGAAACAGACAAAUGAGCGAGUGUCCAAGUUGGCAAAUCCUGCUCGAACAGAGGGAGAGAGGGAGGGGGGAGGGGAGUGGAGGGACAGAGAGGGAGGGGGGAGGGAGAGAAGGCGGGCACUGCAUCGGCUCCAUCCCACCUCGGAAAUACCAACCAGGUGCUGCAGCGUCUUCCUCGCUUGUUUCGCUCCGGAUCCUCCUCAGCUCCAUCGUCCUCCCCGCUGCUCAGAGACGGGACGACGCGGCAGCAAACGGAUCGCAUCCGAUCUGCUGCGGGUCCAGUCGGUGGGCCACUUUCCGCAUCGCAUGGCUCCCGUCCGUCCGGCCGGACAAUAGCAGCUCCCGACUUCCGGCCCAGUGUCCUGCAGGUCUCCAGAUGGCAGGACACGAGUGGGAGGACUGGUUCGAGCGGGAGGAGCUCAUCGGGCAGAUCAGCGACAUCCGAGUGCAGAACCUGCAAGUUGAACGGGAGCUUGUUCAGAAGAGGACCUUCACCAGAUGGAUCAACCUUCACUUGGAAAAGUGUAACCCACCCAUCGAGGUCCACGACCUGUUCAGGGACAUCCAGGAUGGACGCAUCCUCAUGGCUUUGCUGGAGGAGCUCUCUGGCUGCAAACUGCUUCAUGGGUUCAAGAAGUCUUCCCAUCGGAUUUUCAGACUCAACAACAUAGCCAAGGUCUUGUCCUUCCUCGAGGAGAGAAACGUAAAGCUGAUAAGCAUCGAUGCGGUUGAUGUUGCCGAUGGCAACGCAUCCAUCAUCCUGGGUCUCAUCUGGAACAUCAUCCUCUUCUUCCAGAUUAAGGAGCUCACAGGGAACAUCCGCAGCCAGUUCACCUCCUCCUCCAGCCUGUCGUCCAUUCCCACCAGCGCUGACACUGACACGUCCCACUGCAGCAGCCCCUCAGACGACCGACAGCCGCCGUCCACGGCCAUGCGAGAGCAUGGCAAGGCCAUCAAGACGCUGCUGCAGUGGGUCCAGAAGCGAACGCGCAAGUAUGGCGUGGCCGUUCAGGACUUUGGAAAGAGCUGGACAAGCGGCCUGGCCUUCCUGGCUGUCAUUAAGUCCAUUGAUCCCAGCCUGGUAGACAUGAGGAAGGCCCUGCUGAGGAGUCCAAGGGAGAAUAUGGAGGAUGCCUUCAGGAUAGCCCAUUACAGCCUGGGUAUCCCUCGUCUGCUGGAGCCCGAGGAUGUGACCAACCACGCACCAGAUGAGCAGUGCAUUAUGACCUAUGUGUCCCAGUUCUUGGAGCACUUCCCAGGCCUGGAGGAGCAGGAGGAGCCUUCCCUUCUCACGAAACGCGCUGUCUCUAUGGGCCGACUCAACUUCCGCGACAGUGACUACCGUAUGAGGAAUGGUGCUGAUCGGAGAAGAGUGCGGGAGAGGUCCUACAUGUUCCAAAAGGACUGUGCCCAACCCCCACCCAAAAUCUUGAUUUCUUCCGUGUCAGAGGACAGGACCUCCAUGACACCUCGAUGGAGGCCAGCAGCAGCUCGAUCAUGGUCCAGUGAGGAUGUCUUAGCAGAUUCCCCCCACAUGGAAGACAUCUCUAGGAGUGGGACUGAAGACCCCAAGAAAUCAGUCAGUGAGGUCUUAAGCAAUUCAGCGAUUAACCCCUCACAACUGUGUCAUACUCCGUCACCCAGCAGCUCCACUGUGCCCGAGUCAGUUGCUGGUGACUCAGCCAUCAACUCGCCGGAUUCUUGGGUGGAAAGUGAGUUUGGAACAAUGUCUGAAAAAAUUGGCGAGAGCGCAAGUGACAGUUCACUGUGUGACAGUGGAGCAGCCUGGGACGUGUACCGCGCCACUCCAGUGGAGGUGACCAAUUCUGAUGAAGGCUUCGUCCCAUCAGGGGAGGACAAAACCCCUGACGAGCAGUCCAUUACCGAGUCGUAUACUGAUGAAGGAAUUUACUCAUUGAGCUCCUUGGAGAGCACUCAGGAACAGAACCAAGGGCGCUCGGAUAAAAAGAUGCAAGAUGAACACUACAACCAGUACAAAACAGUAGAACAGGAACCUGAGAUUCCUAGAGAAGUAGACUUAGACUUAGUAGCACACUAUAAACCAGUGUGUCCAAGUGGACAACCAGAUGAAGGACCUAAGGAGGAACCGUGUGCUGCACAGAUACUUACCAGCUCGUAUGCUGAUGAUCUGCUUAAACCUGAUGAAACAAACCAGUCCCACCUCAGUCCCACAAAUGAACCAGCACCUCUAAAGCUUUUUGAGGAAGUAACGCAGCCAAGACUUGGGAACCCAGACAGGGAACCGGCAUGCUUGAAGAAUCUGGUAACACUCACAGAGGUUGGACAGGACACCGUAGAACAGAAUAAUGAUCAGAUUGAAAGUCUGCUAAAGACAAACAACUCAGAGGAUGAUGAAGUGGAAAAUCAAACAGAUCUUAUUUUAGAGGAACCAAGAGAUUGGUCAGAAAUUUUAAAUGACCCAAAAGAGAAGCUUGAGGACAUACCAGAAACAACAAGUGAAGCCAUUUUCUGUAAUUGCACAGAGACUAGUAAAGCUUUAGCAAACACGUGUCCAUCCACCCAAGAAGUAGCAACAAACCCACGGCUGGAGCAAGGCCUGGAAACCAGAGUUCCUCAAAUCUCCAUCUCCAGUGAACCGGAAGAGCAGAUCAAAAUGGAAACAUGUGACCUAGAAAGACAAGCUGAUGAAAAGGUAGCUAGAAGUGAAACGACAGACACAGCUGCCAGCAGCUGCACAAAGUCAGAAGAAAUGACCGGUGAUGAAAAAGCUCUCAUUGACAUUAAUUUCUGCAUGAUACCAGAAAGUCUUCAAACAACACAAAAUGAGGAUGUAGAACAUAGUGAUGAAGUUGAUGAUGGAAAUUGUUCCACUGUAGACACUAGUGUUCCAGCAGAUAAGAGGGACAUAAGUGAGGAUCAACAGCAAUGUGAGCUUGUUCACAACACUGAUGAUACUGACAAAGAUGUCACUGCUCAGACUGAAGCUGAUGAGACGAUCACUGGCGACACCUUUUGUCUAAAUGAUGGAGAAAACACUCAGCAGAGCAAGGAUUCAUUCACCUCAGACUCCGACGGAACCACCGGGACAUUGUGUUAUGAGGCAGUUAGUGUCUCCAGAAACAUGGACUUGUUUUAUGCAGAUCGAAGUUCUCCCACAGAAGAUAUCGAUGGUGAACCGGUUGAACCAAUGGAUCUGUUCUACCCUGACAAAGAAGAACUCGUUUCCACAGAGCCAUUCGACACCGACAUGCAGAGUUGGCCUUCUGUUUUGAGUGUGUCUGCUCUUGAGCCUGCACCAGCUGCAGCUGCUCUAGAUGAGCAGCCACUGCUCGUUGAAGACCUUUGGAACCAAGAACAUGACAAGUCCUAGAUACUCAGAGAUGGAUCGUCCAUCACUCUCACUGAGCCCCCUAAGGUUGUUUAUGGGACGGCAGCCUGUGUGGAUCACAUCCUUCCUGAGUCAGUGUCUGGAUGCUGAGGGGCUGUCAUGGUUCACAUGCAUGUGUAGUAUUGUCCGGAGGUUGGAUUGUACAACCAGGUGGAGGUCCCUCUUUUUGAGGAGGGGAGAAACAGAGAUCCAGCUUUUGGUGGAUCGCACUUCUCAGCCUUUCUCUGGGUUAGAGGUUAAGGAAAGACAAUAGCUCCCUGGUUGUGGAACACUGGACGAGCUCAACAGCCAAGGUUUCUGGUGGGUCUGGGUCAGGGACCUCAGGGCUGCAUUACUGCUUUUUGCAGAUGAUGUUGUCCUGUUAGCUUCUGCAGAGCAUACGGUUUGUAGGAUGGUUCUGCCAAUUUGGUUUGCAGCCAAGUGUGAAGCAAAGUCUUCAUGUCUGAAGCUGCUGGUAGUUUAACAGAUUUACCCUUUGAGCUACAUUCCCAAAACUGUGUUUCCUCUACGGAGUGGUGGGGUGCUGGGGAGCUCUGUCACUGAAGGUCUCUGAGUAGAGCGACUCAUCAUCCCCAUCCAGAGGAGCCAGUUGAGGUGGCUUGAGCGCUUGUGUUGGGUGCCUGGACAUUUUCAUCGGGACAUGGUCCAGGUGUGUCUCACUGGAUGGAUGAUCCAGGACACGUCAGAGGGAUUAUGUCUCUCUGCUUCCCGAGACGUGGGCUGAAAGGCUAAAGGAAUAGGGUUGUUGUGCUGAACUGCUGCCUUCCUGGUCCAACCCGUUUACUGUAGGUAGAGGUGAGAUGAAUGGGUGGUUUCAGGACAUUCCAACAAUUUCCAUUUUAGCAGCAUUGUUAAAUUAAAUGUAGUCAAAUCAGUGGUUUAGAAUUGAGUAAGUUGCUAUUAAAUGAUCCAAUUAGAUGUACACACAGUACACUGUAUCACAUGAUACUAGGUUUUAUUUAGUAAAGAAACACAAACCAAACGCUUCAUGAGCAGGUACAGCAGCCAGAGAUUCACCCAGGUUCAGCCUCGUCUUCUGUAUGAAGCCUUCUUGAUAAUGAAUAAUACAUCACCGCUGGUUAGAUGCAGUGUGUGAGGAGGGAAGCGUAGAGCUUCUCUGUGACUGCAGCAGUUACUUCAAUAACUGGCCACCAUCAUCAUUCAACAGCGAUGUAGCGGUGUUCAGUUCAUCUGAGUGAUGCAAUGCUGUGAUGUUAUUGUGUGUCAACUACUGUAAGUGAUUGUGAAUGAUGAUGAAGAACACGUAGAACCUGGAUCUGUUAGGCUCCAACCCACAAAAGUCAACAAUCUCACAGUUGAUGAUAUCUGUUCCACAUGGAGGCUGAACACGAAGCUUGGAUUCAGGGACCCUUUCAUUCAGGGUGGUAAUAAACAAGCCUGACUCCUGUGCUGCAUCCAUGCAUUUUUGCUGAGGUUUAUAAAAUGAUCCCUUUACUGCAUGAUUUCCCGCCUGAAAAACACUGAAUCAAUGCAAAUGUGUAUGACACAUAUUUAAUGUAUGCUGUAAAGCUGACAAAAUGCUCUGAUUUCCACAUCAGACUAAUGCAAAACUGCACGUUUAGUUAGUUUAGAUAACAUUAGCUAGUCAACUUCAGAGUCUGACGUCACCGUCUGCAGGAAACACAAUUUGUCGAACUGCAUCAAAGAAUCACUUCAUGUGUGUGUUGACUCAAACAGCAGCGUGAGGCGAUGUGACAUUGCUCAGUCAAGAGUCAGACUUGCAUCCGGCCUUCAUCAGGAAGCUGUAGGGAAGCUUACUGUAUGUUUGUUCCUUUCUUCUGCUAUUUGCAAGAUUAAAAUGACAUAAAAUCGCAUAUUUUGCAUACGAACCACAAAUCAGACUGGCUUGUAUUCAAAGGACUUAAUGCGCCGGCCUUUUGGAAGACUUGAUGCAAAUGUGCUCAGGAUCUUACAGCAAAGCUCUGCCAGUCGCUGCGAUUCCUUCUCUGCUCGUGCCUCCAGGUGAGCAGCGAGGAGCCGGAGCGUUGGUCCGGACAGAGGAUGGGAGGACGGUCUGAUGUCUGUGAUGUCGCUGAGGCUGCACCACAGAGCCUGGGCUGCAGCAGUGCAGCCUCGGAGCCUGUGAGGCCAGAUGGAAGUGCAGUCCCUCC